UGGGGAAUAUUGGACAAUGGGCGCAAGCCUGAUCCAGCCAUGCCGCGUGUGUGAAGAAGGCCUUCGGGUUGUAAAGCACUUUCAGCGAGGAGGAAGGGUUGUGUGUUAAUAGUACACAGCCUUGACGUUACUCGCAGAAGAAGCACCGGCUAACUCUGUGCCAGCAGCCGCGGUAAUACAGAGGGUGCAAGCGUUAAUCGGAAUUACUGGGCGUAAAGCGCACGCAGGCGGUUGGUUAAGUCAGAUGUGAAAGCCCCGGGCUCAACCUGGGAAUUGCAUUUGAAACUGGCCAACUAGAGUACGUGAGAGGGGGGUAGAAUUCCAAGUGUAGCGGUGAAAUGCGUAGAGAUUUGGAGGAAUACCAGUGGCGAAGGCGGCCCCCUGG
rnacentral:rRNA from 1 species